rnacentral:lncRNA from 1 species
AUAUAUUUACGAUUAUAUUUUGAUUUAAAGUUUUUGUUGAGGCCCAAAAUUUUCCAGCCUAAAACCUCGGCUUCUGCCAUUUCACGCAAAUCGUUGCAUGUUUUUUGGUUUCCCAAAAAUAAGAAAUUUGCAGGUGAUUGAGGAGGAAAGAGAUGCUGGAGAUGUGGAAUUGAGGAGACAGUACGAGAAAUGACAGCACUUCAACUGUGUCAACUGCCACUCUCAUCUGCUGCAACCCAAUCCUCCUCCUUUCGUCGCACCCAUCCAUGUUCAUUUCUAGCUCUGAGUGACAAAACCCGAUUCAUAAUUCAAAGGAGGAAAACCAGAGUAAAAACUGUACGGGUCAGGAAGGAUGAUCUUACAGAAACACAACUAUCCACCUCCUCACCUGCCCAAAAUUAACAGCAGUAGCAGCAGCAAGAACCUGACCUCCAAGACCUUGAAUAUGUCCGCCAAAUCCAAAAUGUUCGUUCUCUUUUCCCUCUUUUUUGUAUUUUAAAAAUGAUUUCUUGCUUACCCAUUUCUUCAUAGUAGUGAAUCGUUAAGCUUUGUGUCUGUAUAUGCGUAGGUCUUGGAGCUACUCAGGAAAAAUAGGGACACGCUCUUCAGCGAGAUUGGAAUGUCGCUUACUCCUUUGAUGAUUAGAUGGCUAAGGAAGGGGAAGGUAAUACUAGGUUUCCCAUAGAAUGAUUAAUGUUAGGCGUAGAGUAAAUAGUGUUGCAUUUUUAGGCUUAAAAGUUGUUAAAAUAGAUGACCCCCAUAAGUAAUAAAAGAGAGUUUUAGGAAUUUUUACAGUGAGCAUUUUGAAAACAAUAAACUUAGCGAGGAAUAGAAAGUAGGCUAGAGAGACAAUUUUCAGAAGAAGAGGUUUAGAUUCACUGUCUUUGAGGGAAAGUAUAGGGUACAUGAUUAGGUUGGUAUGAUAUUGAAAGGGUCGCCCUGGGUUCAAUUAGGGACCUAUUAGGUCUCAUUGUGGGUUGAUAAAGGGAGGGAAAAGAUUUAAGGAACUUUUAUUUUUGUUAUAAUUUGAGGUUUUAUGGUUGGAAGAAAUGAUAGAAUUUUCAGACAAAAGAAGAUGGGUGUUGAUGAAUUUAUGGAUUUGGUUAGGAUUCGGUUGGCUUGGUGGAUUAAUUCAUGCAUUCCCAGAUUGAAGCAAUUGCCUUUGAAUAGUCUCUUCAUCUCAACUCCAGAGUUGGCACUUGUGGGAAGAAAAAAUGGCAAGAUCAAACCUAUUACUUGGGACCCUCCUCCGUCUGGUUGUUGGAAAUUUAAUGUUAGACAAAUUGUUUUUUAGGUAAAACCGAGGCCUGCAGUUGUUGGUGGCAUGUUAAGAGACUGGUUGAGAAACAUAAGGUUUUUCUGUUCAAACAAAUUUUCUUGCAAUCAUUUUUUGAUAAAAACUCCAUUCAAGUCAAUAUAUUGUAUCAUGUAAACCAUUACUCAAAGCCUGGUACUGAAUGUAUAUUAAAGAAAUCAAUUUGAUUAAGAUACACCAAUGAUCUCUUGCUUGGAAAGCCCAUUGAUUGAACCAAUUUCUUGAACUAAACUCAUAUAUAGAUUGCUAGAAAUUCCAAUAGGAAGAUUUUUCCA